GACAUGAACAACACCUUGAGCCUGAGC
rnacentral:piRNA from 1 species